rnacentral:tRNA from 1 species
GCCUGCAGGGUGGCUGUUUUCAUGCCGCUGGCGCUCAGUGCGCCUGCGUCCGCGUCGUAGCGGAACACCGUGCCAUCCGGCGCGCUGACC